GAUGAACGCUAGCGGCAGGCCUAAUACAUGCAAGUCAAGGGGACCAGCAAUGGUCACCGGCGGACGGGUGCGUAACGCGUACACAACCUACCCUUAAGAGGGGGAUAGCGGCGGGAAACUGCCGGUAAUACCCCAUGGUAUUAUUGAAUCGCCUGGUUUGAUAAUUAAAGUUCCGGCGCUUAAGGAUGGGUGUGCGUCUGAUUAGCUAGUUGGCGAGGUAACGGCUCACCAAGGCGACGAUCAGUAGGGGGUGUGAGAGCAUGGCCCCCCACACGGUACGUGAGGCGACGACCCGGACCUCCUACCGGGAGGGCGAG
rnacentral:rRNA from 1 species